rnacentral:rRNA from 1 species
UACGUAGGGUGCAAGCGUUAAUCGGAAUUACUGGGCGUAAAGCGUGCGCAGGCGGUUAUGUAAGUCAGAAGUGAAAUCCCGGGGCUUAACCCCGGAAUUGCUUUUGAAACUGCAUGACUAGAAUAUGGGAGAGGUUAGCAGAAUUCCGAGUGUAGAGGUGAAAUUCGCAGAUAUUCGGAGGAAUACCAGUGGCGAAGGCGGCUAACUGGACCAUUACUUGACGC